rnacentral:piRNA from 1 species
UACACUUAACAGAUACAGGAUGCCUCUUU